GGCAGAAUGGCCGAGCGGUCUAAGGCGCCAGAAUCAGGCGAAUCCAAGCUCACAUAAUCUGGUCCUUCGGGGCGUGGGUUCGAAUCCCACUUCUGUCA